CGCAUUUCGACAAAUUAUGUCUCUUCAGUGAUUUACAGCGUAAAGUUAACUCAAAUGAAGACAAGAAGAGCGUAGUAAACUACAUCUGUGAUGUGAUUUGGUCGCGAUCAGCGAUGGAGAAACUGGCGUUGGUCUAGUCUACAAAGUUGAACACAGAUUUCGACAGAAAUACAAAGGAUCUGAGAGAAUUGAUGGAGGAUAUGAUGGGUCAAGUUAACGUUAAGCUCUUAGUCAGGUUUUUGGAAAACAACGGCAUGUUCAUCAUUUGGACUAGUGGUUGUAGCCAUGCACGAGACAUUUCGAGACAGUAGGACAGAUUUAGACAAUGUGCAGGAUUUUAAUGAAGAUUCGCACCGGUACCCUGACAUGAACAUAUAAAUUUUUCGAGCUUCGAAACCAGCUUCGCUUAUGAUCAUGCCGAGUCAUAGCCGUUGUGGCAGUUGCCAGGAAACAACAGGUUAACUUAUCCUCAUAAAGUAAAUAGGUUUAUAACUCUGCCUACAUUAUUUCGUUUCUAAUAUCAUAGAAUUUUAUCUUAUAUAUUCGCCCUGCAGAAGUUGCAGACGGUAUUUAAAAGUGUAUAAACUGAAACAUCAGAACAGUAUGUUUAAUGUUUCUCUUUUAUAGCUUGAUGAAAUUCUUGUUUGUUUACAAAAUAAACUCUGUAUAAAUAUCCUA